GUCGAGCGAGAAAGGGGUAGCAAUACCCUGAGUAAAGCGGCGCACGGGUGAGUAACACGUGGGUAACCUACCCUAGAGUGGGGAAUAACACCGGGAAACCGGUGCUAAUACCGCAUACGAUCACGAUGUCUUCGGAUGUUGUGAUGAAAGGAGCAAUUCGCUCUUGGAGGGGCCCGCGGCUGAUUAGCUAGUUGGUAAGGUAACGGCUUACCAAGGCUACGAUCAGUAUCCGGUCUGAGAGGACGGUCGGACACACUGGAACUGAGACACGGUCCAGACUCCUACGGGAGGCAGCAGUGGGGAAUUUUUGGCAAUGGGGGAAACCCUGACCAAGCAACGCCGCGUGGGUGAUGAAGUCUCUUGGGACGUAAAACCCUUUCGACGGGGAAGAAAGGCCGCAAGGCUUUGACGGUACCCGUAGAAGAAGCCCCGGCUAACUCCGUGCCAGCAGCCGCGGUAAUACGGGGGGGGCAAGCGUUGUUCGGAAUUACUGGGCGUAAAGGGCGCGUAGGCGGUCUGCUAAGUUGGGUGUGAAAACUCUGGGCUUAACCCAGAGCCUGCACUCAAAACUGACAGGCUAGAGUUCUGGAGGGGAUAGCGGAAUUCCUGGUGUAGCGGUGAAAUGCGUAGAUAUCAGGAGGAACACCGGUGGCGAAGGCGGCUAUCUGGAC
rnacentral:rRNA from 1 species